GAUGAACGCUGGCGGCGUGCCUAAUACAUGCAGGUCGAGCGAACGGACGAGAAGCUUGCUUCUCUGAUGUUAGCGGCGGACGGGUGAGUAACACGUGGAUAACCUACCUAUAAGACUGGGAUAACUUCGAGAAACCGGAGCUAAUACCGGAUGAUAUUUUGAACCGCAUGGUUCAAAAGUGAAAGACGGUCUUGCUGUCACUUAUAGAUGGAUCCGCGCUGCAUUAGCUAGUUGGUAAGGUAACGGCUUACCAAGGCGACGAUGCAUAGCCGACCUGAGAGGGUGAUCGGCCACACUGGAACUGAGACACGGUCCAGACUCCUACGGGAGGCAGCAGUAGGGAAUCUUCCGCAAAGGGCGAAAGCCUGACGGAGCAACGCCGCGUGAGUGAUGAAGGUCUUCGGAUCGUAAAACUCUGUUAUUAGGGAAGAACAUAUGUGUAAGUAACUGUGCACAUCUUGACGGUACCUAAUCAGAAAGCCACGGCUAACUACGUG
rnacentral:rRNA from 1 species